rnacentral:rRNA from 1 species
UACGUAGGUGACAAGCGUUGUCCGGAUUUACUGGGCGUAAAGAGCGCGCAGGCGGUCGUUCAAGUCGAGUGUGAAAGCCCCCGGCUCAACUGGGGAGGGUCAUUGAUACUGAUCGACUCGAAGGCAGGGAGAGGGAAGUGGAAUCCCGGUGUAGUGGUGAAAUGCGUAGAUAUCGCUUGGAACGGCCGCACGGUAGUGAAAACAGCGUCGCUCGGGGGUGUGCCGACGCUGAGACACGAAAGCCAGGGGAGGCGAAACGGG